rnacentral:rRNA from 1 species
UGGAAGCGUCUGGAAAGGCGCGCGAUACAGGGUGACAGCCCCGUACACAAAAAUGCACAUGCUGUGAGCUCGAUGAGUAGGGCGGGACACGUGGUAUCCUGUCUGAAUAUGGGGGGACCAUCCUCCAAGGCUAAAUACUCCUGACUGACCGAUAGUGAACCAGUACCGUGAGGGAAAGGCGAAAAGAACCCCGGCGAGGGGAGUGAAAAAGAACCUGAAACCGUGUACGUACAAGCAGUGGGAGCACGCUUAGGCGUGUGACUGCGUACCUUUUGUAUAAUGGGUCAGCGACUUAUAUUCUGUAGCAAGGUUAACCGAAUAGGGGAGCCGAAGGGAAACCGAGUCUUAACUGGGCGUUAAGUUGCAGGGUAUAGACCCGAAACCCGGUGAUCUAGCCAUGGGCAGGUUGAAGGUUGGGUAACACUAACUGGAGGACCGAACCGACUAAUGUUGAAAAAUUAGCGGAUGACUUGUGGCUGGGGGUGAAAGGCCAAUCAAACCGGGAGAUAGCUGGUUCUCCCCGAAAGCUAUUUAGGUAGCGCCUCGUGAAUUCAUCUCCGGGGGUAGAGCACUGUUUCGGCAAGGGGGUCAUCCCGACUUACCAACCCGAUGCAAACUGCGAAUACCGGAGAAUGUUAUCACGGGAGACACACGGCGGGUGCUAACGUCCGUCGUGAAGAGGGAAACAACCCAGACCGCCAGCUAAGGUCCCAAAGUCAUGGUUAAGUGGGAAACGAUGUGGGAAGGCCCAGACAGCCAGGAUGUUGGCUUAGAAGCAGCCAUCAUUUAAAGAAAGCGUAAUAGCUCACUGGUCGAGUCGGCCUGCGCGGAAGAUGUAACGGGGCUAAACCAUGCACCGAAGCUGCGGCAGCGACGCUGAUGCGUUGUUGGGUAGGGGAGCGUUCUGUAAGCCUGCGAAGGUGUGCUGUGAGGCAUGCUGGAGGUAUCAGAAGUGCGAAUGCUGACAUAAGUAACGAUAAAGCGGGUGAAAAGCCCGCUCGCCGGAAGACCAAGGGUUCCUGUCCAACGUUAAUCGGGGCAGGGUGAGUCGACCCCUAAGGCGAGGCCGAAAGGCGUAGUCGAUGGGAAACAGGUUAAUAUUCCUGUACUUGGUGUUACUGCGAAGGGGGGACGGAGAAGGCUAUGUUGGCCGGGCGACGGUUGUCCCGGUUUAAGCGUGUAGGCUGGUUUUCCAGGCAAAUCCGGAAAAUCAAGGCUGAGGCGUGAUGACGAGGCACUACGGUGCUGAAGCAACAAAUGCCCUGCUUCCAGGAAAAGCCUCUAAGCAUCAGGUAACAUCAAAUCGUACCCCAAACCGACACAGGUGGUCAGGUAGAGAAUACCAAGGCGCUUGAGAGAACUCGGGUGAAGGAACUAGGCAAAAUGGUGCCGUAACUUCGGGAGAAGGCACGCUGAUAUGUAGGUGAAGUCCCUCGCGGAUGGAGCUGAAAUCAGUCGAAGAUACCAGCUGGCUGCAACUGUUUAUUAAAAACACAGCACUGUGCAAACACGAAAGUGGACGUAUACGGUGUGACGCCUGCCCGGUGCCGGAAGGUUAAUUGAUGGGGUCAGCGCAAGCGAAGCUCUUGAUC